rnacentral:rRNA from 2 species
CCUACGGGAGGCAGCAGUGGGGAAUUUUCCGCAAUGGGCGAAAGCCUGACGGAGCAACGCCGCGUGAGGGAUGAAGGCCUCUGGGCUGUAAACCUCUUUUAUCAAGGAAGAAGAUCUGACGGUACUUGAUGAAUAAGCCACGGCUAAUUCCGUGCCAGCAGCCGCGGUAAUACGGGAGUGGCAAGCGUUAUCCGGAAUUAUUGGGCGUAAAGCGUCCGCAGGCGGUCUUGUAAGUCUGUCGUUAAAGCGUGGAGCUUAACUCCAUUUAAGCGAUGGAAACUGCAAGACUAGAGUGUGGUAGGGGCAGAGGGAAUUCCCGGUGUAGCGGUGAAAUGCGUAGAUAUCGGGAAGAACACCAGUGGCGAAGGCGCUCUGCUGGGCCAUAACUGACGCUCAUGGACGAAAGCCAGGGGAGCGAAAGGGAUUAGAUACCCCUGUAGUCCUGGCCGUAAACGAUGAACACUAGGUGUCGGGGGAAUCGACCCCCUCGGUGUCGUAGCCAACGCGUUAAGUGUUCCGCCUGGGGAGUACGCACGCAAGUGUGAAACUCAAAGGAAUUGACGG